AACUAUACGGUAUCAAUAAGUCUAGUAAGACCUAAGAGGUCGUUAGGCAAAAACAGGAUCUCCUACCCAACUCCUAUUCCGUCCUCGUCGUGCACAGUGGUAACUUGCCCCAUUUGCGUAACUUGCGGAUGAUGGAGCAAGGCUGAACAGGAAGGG
rnacentral:ribozyme from 1 species